UUUCACUUUACUGGCAAACAGCUCUGCUGAAACAGUGCUAGAAAGUUUAUCAUGAGAUACCACAGACUAUACUGAUGCAUAUUAAGCACUCAUCAUCUGUAGGCAUAGCUGUAGUGUAUAUCUGAAGAUUUUGAUGGUAUCAAGCUCCGGAUCCAGAAUCUUCUCUGCGGUCUGCAGGUGUGGUAGUUCAGGGAAGGGCAAUGUGCAUUUGUAGCUUUACCCCACUUUGUACGUCUGAGACUCUGGAUGCGUUUGGGUACAAAGCUGACAAAGAACCUGAGCAGCAGAGUUCACUCUGGGACGCUGUGCUGGUGUAAUUUUACUCGUGUAGCUACAUUUAGUAGCCUGGAAAGAAAUAUGACAUGCUGGGAAGCAGAGCGGGGCAGGGUCUAAGACUACUAUUUGAGGAAACAUUUGUCACAGGAGCUCUGGAUAUGUUUCUUGCUCAGAGUCUAGCUGUUUUCCAUGUAGUUUCGUUCUGAUGAGGAGUAUAACAAGGCUGGGAAGCAGUCUGAUGGCUCUGAGAGGUGGCUUCCAGAAAGAUGUUUUUCAAGCUGCCAGGAGCACACAAUGACAUGUCAGUCCCAUGAAACCGGCGCUUGUGAAGAGUGAUGGAUCUGCAGCUCUGGAACCUGUUUUCACGCUUAAAAUCUGACUCUACCACUUGCUGUUGCACAGCUGCUCCAGGGAGAGAAACUGUCCCCUGAGGUGCAAGGAAGGGACAGUCAGCCCGAUUCAACAUCCAUUCUGAAUUUACUGUACAAUAAUACACCACAAACACCCUUCAGGUACAAGUAUAUGGUAUCAUAUGCUUCACUGCAAGACGUUAAUUACUGUAUGAAGGUAACUGCCUUAAUUCAGCAAGUGAAGCACCAUUCUGCCAAGUUAUAUUAACAAAAAACAAGCUAGCAUUUUUAGAAACAUGACAGUCUUUCCUUGAGAUGAAUUAACUUCUUUAAUUUGAAUGCUAUUGCCACAUCACAAAACAUCACAUAACCGAUAACUGUUUAACAAUAAAUUAUUAAUAAUGUGA